ACCAUUGUUCAUGAGUGUGAUGAUUCUGUGUCCAUACCUUAUGCAUGAGAUGUGCCUCCCACAAACCAUGUUAUGAGGUGGACACAUUAUCCAUCUGAUG